rnacentral:rRNA from 1 species
UACGGAGGGGGCUAGCGUUGCUCGGAAUCACUGGGCGUAAAGCGCACGUAGGCGGUCUUUUAAGUCAGGGGUGAAAUCCUGGAGCUCAACUCCAGAACUGCCUUUGAUACUGAGAGACUUGAGUCCGGGAGAGGUGAGUGGAACUGCGAGUGUAGAGGUGAAAUUCGUAGAUAUUCGCAAGAACACCAGUGGCGAAGGCGGCUCACUGGCCCGGUACUGACGCUGAGGUGCGAAAGCGUGGGGAGCAAACAGGG